AUUGAACGCUGGCGGCAGGCCUAACACAUGCAAGUCGAGCGGAUGAAGGGAGCUUGCUCCUGGAUUCAGCGGCGGACGGGUGAGUAAUGCCUAGGAAUCUGCCUGGUAGUGGGGGAUAACGUCCGGAAACGGGCGCUAAUACCGCAUACGUCCUGAGGGAGAAAGUGGGGGAUCUUCGGACCUCACGCUAUCAGAUGAGCCUAGGUCGGAUUAGCUAGUUGGUGGGGUAAAGGCCUACCAAGGCGACGAUCCGUAACUGGUCUGAGAGGAUGAUCAGUCACACUAGAACUGAGACACGGUCCAGACUCCUACGGGAGGCAGCAGUGGGGAAUAUUAGACAAUGGGCGAAAGCCCGAUCCAGCCAUGCCGCGUGUGUGAAGAAGGUCUUCGGAUUGUAAAGCACUUUAAGUUGGGAGGAAGGGCAGUAAGUUAAUACCUUGCUGUUUUGACGUUACCAACAGAAUAAGCACCGGCUAACUUCGUG
rnacentral:rRNA from 1 species